UACGAAGGGGGCUAGCGUUGUUCGGAAUUACUGGGCGUAAAGCGCGCGCAGGCGGUCUUCCAAGUCAGUGGUGAAAGCCCGGAGCUCAACUCCGGAACUGCCAUUGAAACUGUGAGACUUGAGUAUGAGAGAGGUGAGUGGAAUUCCCAGUGUAGAGGUGAAAUUCGUAGAUAUUGGGAAGAACACCGGUGGCGAAGGCGGCUCACUGGCUCGAUUACUGACGCUCAGGCGCGACAGCGUGGGGAUCAAACAGG
rnacentral:rRNA from 1 species